UACGUAGGUGGCAAGCGUUGUCCGGAUUUACUGGGCGUAAAGAGCGCGCAGGCGGCCAAGUCAGUCGAAUGUGAAAGCCCCCGGCUUAACUGGGGAGGGUCAUUCGAUACUGCUCGGCUCGAAGACAGGAGAGGGAAGCGGAAUUCCCGGUGUAGUGGUGAAAUGCGUAGAUAUCAAGUGGAACACCAGUGGCGAAGGCGAGUCUCUGGACAUUUCCUGACGCUGAGGCACGAAAGCCAGGGGAGCAAACGGG
rnacentral:rRNA from 1 species